rnacentral:pre_miRNA from 1 species
UCUUCAUUUCGCACACACUCUCUCUCCGGUCUGAUAGGCGAGAUAGCGUGGGAGAUGAAGAGA